UGUCGUCAGCUCGUGUUGUGAAAUGUUGGGUUAAGUCCCGCAACGAGCGCAACCCUUAUCCUUUGUUGCCAGCGGUCCGGCCGGGAACUCAAAGGAGACUGCCAGUGAUAAACUGGAGGAAGGUGGGGAUGACGUCAAGUCAUCAUGGCCCUUACGACCAGGGCUACACACGUGCUACAAUGGCGCAUACAAAGAGAAGCGACCUCGCGAGAGCAAGCGGACCUCAUAAAGUGCGUCGUAGUCCGGAUUGGAGUCUGCAACUCGACUCCAUGAAGUCGGAAUCGCUAGUAAUCGUGGAUCAGAAUGCCACGGUGAAUACGUUCCCGGGCCUUGUACACACCGCCCGUCACACCAUGGGAGUGGGUUGCAAAAGAAGUAGGUAGCUUAACCUUCGGGAGGGCGCUUACCACUUUGUG
rnacentral:rRNA from 1 species